ensembl:lncRNA
UGAUAACUCACUUACCUCAGUGCCGUUUUAUUUUAUUAUACAUUUUUUAUGAUUUUUUUUCUUUACAACAUUAAAAAAGAAGAAACGGUUCGAGCACAAGAUGUACCUAUAGCCCCCGCGUGCCAGGUGCCAAGUUAUUUUAAAGGCGAGAGGAAAGAAGGAAUCAUUUCACCGUGUCUUCCAGAAAAGCGCUGGGAAGCAAUUUUUUCGGCGGUAUUCAGUUUCUUUCCCCCCGCCGUCCCGUUACUGCCGUUUUCCCCCUCAGUCCUCCCCUGCCCUGGACCCGAAUGAAGGUUCUUAGGUUUAGGCUUUGUGUCACUUGGAAACAGUGCAUUGGUUGCCAGGGUAACGGGGCCUGGGACGGUGAAACUUAGAACCCCGAGAAUACCUUUUGUUUGUGACUGGGGCGAAUCAGGGACCCGGGCCAGCCGUCGCUCCAGAAUGCACCGCCUCAAUCAACGGUGCUUGUUACAUCAUUGGUCUCUCUGUCUCUGUCUCUCUCUCUCUCUCUCUCUGUCUCUGUCUCUCUCUCUCUCUCUCUCUCUCUCUCUCUCUCUCUCUCUCUCUCUCUCUCUCUCUCUCUCGAUGUCUCUACUUAUCUAUCUCUGUCCGUAGUUAUGUCCCUCUCGUUUGCACUCUCUGUUUUGCUUGUGCUCUCUCUCUCUCUCUCUCCGUCUCUCUCCGUCUAUAUAUCUCUGUCUCUCUCUCUCUCUCUUCGUCUCUGUCUAUGUCUCUCUCUCUCACACACUCUUUCCAAUUCCACUCCUCCACCAGUGUACCUAAUAAAGUGAACAGACCAAACGAUUGUGAAAUGGAAAUAAAGUCCCACUUUAGAAGCUUCUGUUCUCUUUGAUUUAUCAGGUCAUGGUCAGCCAAUGAAAAUCUGACAUUUAACAGUGUUCGGUUUUUAAUCUACCGGCGAGAGGAAGACUCAUCAAGGACUCGUUAAUAAGUACAUCAAUGAAACUGGAUUAAUAAUGAGCGUUUUUUUUAAUCCUGUUGUUGGUUCAGGUACAUCUGAGGUGAACCCAGGAGGAGGAGGAAGAAGAGGAGGAGGAAGAGGAGGAGGAAGAAGAGGAGGAGGAAGAAGAGGAGGAGGAAGAAGAGGAGGAGGAAGUCGAGGAGGAGGUGCUGUUGCCUUCUAGAGAUUCAUCAGGGAACGAGGAGAGCAAGGGUGGAUGUUCUGACUUGGAUCAGCGUCGCAGAGAGCAGAUGUCUCUUCCUGGAACGCUCUCUGACUGCAUGGCCUCAACCGCUCAGCCUCCAGCCAACUGCUCCUGACUCAGAUGAUGUGACAUAAAAGUUCUACUUUUUUAUUAUUUCUCUUAAGUAGGCACUCCCCGAGUCUCAAUUUACCGAAACGUAAUGGGACGAAAACCCUUCCAAGUGUUCAUUAUGUUACGCAGAAUUCAUCAUAAUUUUGAUGAGGUCUUUUUUUUUGGUGGAAUAAUCCCCCCUUAAGUCAAAAUCGGUUGUGUAAUACCCUUCGACUUUCUUUCUCUGAGGUUUCGCCGAGCAGGUGGUUUGUAUGAAUUGUUUUUAUUAUUGUCUCCUGCAUGGGCGUGACUCACACCAGUUUAAGUGUUGAGACAGUGUUGUCAAAGGGGGCUUAUCGCUCUUUGAUUUACAGCUCAGAGACUUGUGUGUCUGGGCUGAGAGGAGAAAAGGCCACAUAAAAGACGAUGGUUUGCUCAUGGAUCACAGUCUUAUCAGGUUUAUGAUCUUCAUGUGUUCAUGAAUGCGUGUAUGUUCAAAUUGUUACAACUUGGGGAUGUUUAUUGGGAAUGAAAACUGACGAUGGAUGUGACUAUUGGUGUUUCGUUGCAUUAUAAACUGUGACAUGCAUUUGUUAAAAUUAGUAUGAC